rnacentral:sRNA from 1 species
ACGGUGCUUCCGGGUUCUGGGGUAGGAGCGGCGUCUUCUCGCGCGGAUUGUGAAGCUGAAUUUGGUACGCUGGACCCUCGGACAGACAGCAAGAGAGAGACAAGCCCGAGGCCUGACUUCUAGCACUCCUGAGUUUGAGCCCUAUGAGCAGUGGAACCUAGGUGACUGGCCAUGUCAUUGUCCCACUUAUACCGGGAUGGGGAAGGCCGCAUUGAUGAUGAUGAUGACGAGCGGGAGAACUUUGAGAUCACUGACUGGGAUCUCCAGAAUGAGUUCAACCCCAACCGACAGCGCCACUGGCAGACCAAGGAAGAAGCCACCUACGGGGUGUGGGCAGAGCGAGACUCGGAUGAUGAGAGGCCCAGCUUUGGAGGCAAAAGGGCCCGUGACUACUCUGCGCCAGUCAACUUCAUCAGCGCAGGGCUCAAGAAAGGGGCAGCGGAGGAGGCAGAGUUGGAAGAUUCUGAUGACGAAGAGAAACCUGUUAAGCAGGACGACUUUCCUAAGGAUUUUGGACCAAGGAAGCUAAAAACGGUAGAGUCUUUAUUGCAGGAUUGUGACCCUAGGAAUAUC